rnacentral:rRNA from 1 species
CCUACGGGAGGCAGCAGUGAGGAAUAUUGGACAAUGGGCGCAAGCCUGAUCCAGCCAUGCCGCGUGCAGGAAGAAGCAUCUAUGGUGUGUAAACUGCUUUUGUACAGGAAGAAACACUCCCUCGUGAGGGAGCUUGACGGUACUGUAAGAAUAAGGACCGGCUAACUCCGUGCCAGCAGCCGCGGUAAUACGGAGGGUCCGAGCGUUAUCCGGAAUCAUUGGGUUUAAAGGGUCCGUAGGCGGUUUAAUAAGUCAGUGGUGAAAUCUGGUCGCUCAACGAUCAAACGGCCAUUGAUACUGUUAGACUUGAAUUAUAAGGAAGUAACUAGAAUAUGUAGUGUAGCGGUGAAAUGCUUAGAUAUUACAUGGAAUACCAAUUGCGAAGGCAGGUUACUACUUAUGGAUUGACGCUGAUGGACGAAAGCGUGGGGAGCGAACAGGAUUAGAUACCCUGGUAGUCCACGCCGUAAACGAUGGAUACUAGCUGUUCGGAGCAAUCUGAGUGNGUAGAGAAGUAGAGUAAGUAUACCACCGUACGGGAGGUACGUUACGUCGAAGAAGAGAAACGUUAAAGGUAAAGUUAGUACGGACGUGAGACGUAGACGACGGACGACGACGAGGGAGGAGG